AAUGAACGCUGGCGGCAUGCCUAACACAUGCAAGUCGAACGAAGGCUUCGGCCUUAGUGGCGCACGGGUGCGUCACGCGUGGGAAUCUGCCCUCAGGUUCGGACUAACAGCGAGAAAUUGCUGCUAAUACCGGAUGAUAUCGCGAGAUCAAAGAUUUAUCGCCUGAGGAUGAGCCCGCGUAGGAUUAUCUAGUUGGUGUGGUAAAGGCGCACCAAGGCGACGAUCCUUAACUGGGCUGAGAGGAUGAUCAGCCACACUGGGACUGAGACACGGCCCGGACUCAUACGGGAGGCAGCAGUGGGGAAUAUUGGACAAUGGGCGAAAGCCUGAUCCAGCAAUGCCGCGUGGGUGAUGAAGGCCUUAGGGUCGUAAAGCUCUUUUACCCGGGAUGAUAAUGACAGUACCGGGAGAAUAAGCUCCGGCUAACUCCGUGCCAGCAGCCGCCGUAA
rnacentral:rRNA from 1 species